rnacentral:rRNA from 1 species
UACGUAGGUCCCGAGCGUUGUCCGGAUUUAUUGGGCGUAAAGCGAGCGCAGGUGGUUUAUUAAGUCUGGUGUAAAAGGCAGAGGCUCAACCAUUGUACGCAUUGGAAACUGGUAGACUUGAGUGCAGGAGAGGAGAGUGGAAUUCCAUGUGUAGCGGUGAAAUGCGUAGAUAUAUGGAGGAACACCGGUGGCGAAAGCGGCUCUCUGGCCUGUAACUGACACUGAGGCUCGAAAGCGUGGGGAGCAAACAGG